GGGUGUGCAUAAAAAAUCUGAAUUUUAAGUUUUUGGUUCUAAGGGUUUGGAAGAGAGAAUAAAAUAAAAAAAUUAUUUUUUCUCCUUAUUUCUUUCAUCUCUUCAUCUCUUUCAAAAGUUCAUCUUCAACCUCUGAUAAGAUUCUAAAGAUUUGAAGAAAAGAUCCAAAUUAGUCAAGAAGAAGAUCUUCGUGUGAGCUAGCACUCCCGAGAAGACCGAUCAAAUCGGGGCUUCGAGUGAAUUUUUUGUAGAGACC
rnacentral:lncRNA from 1 species